GCCCCAGACUGGAAUCAAAAUUGAAUUCGAAAUGGAUUAUAAUAAAAAAUAAAAUAAUUUAAUUUUUUAUAUAUUUAAUUUAUAAUUAAGAUUAGAAUCAAAAUAAAAUUUAAAUAAUAAAUAAAAAUUUUAAUUAAAUUAUAGAAGAUUAAAUCAUUCUCAUUUUUUAUUAAAAUUGGAAUGCAAAUAAAGCUCUCGCAAACCAAACAAUUAGAACAAAACUUAUCCAU
rnacentral:lncRNA from 1 species